UACAGAGGUCUCAAGCGUUGUUCGGAUUCAUUGGGCGUAAAGGGUGCGUAGGCGGCUUGUCGCGUCGUCCGUGAAAACCUGCAGCUCAACUGCAGGCUUGCGGUCGAUACGGGCAGGCUGGAGUUCGGUAGGGGAGACUGGAAUUCCUGGUGUAGCGGUGAAAUGCGCAGAUAUCAGGAGGAACACCGGUGGCGAAGGCGGGUCUCUGGGCCGAUACUGACGCUGAGGAGCGAAAGCGUGGGGAGCGAACAGG
rnacentral:rRNA from 1 species